AUACUUACUUGGCGUAGGGGUUACCGUGAUCAUGAAGGCGGUUCCCCCAGGGCGAGGGCCCUCCAUUGCACUGAGGUUGGCUUGACCCCUGCGAUUAUCCCUAAUGCGGAUAACUCGGGCGCGCAAUUUUUGGUAGUCGGGACUGCGUCCGCGCUGUCCCGG